UAAGCUAUUGUGAUAAUAAGACCCUACAUUUUGACUGACUGCAAUAUCUCUCCCCCAAAUCUGCUGUGUACUCUAUUGACAUACUAUCCCAACAACUCUGUCUCCAUAGAAACUAGAAAACCUCUGAAUGUCCGCGAACUUCAGAUUCUUAGAGCAGAGGAAGGUGAUGCCUCUUGCUGAGGUUUCAAAGGAUGCGACCCGUGAUGGAUCUUUGUUCAUCUGCCCUGUUUUGUCCCUCCCCUUGUACUCAUUCAUCUGCUGGCGAAAAUGAAGAGGCUGUCGCCGUUCAGCCGCCAUUCAUUUUUCAUGAAAAUAUCAAUUAUGUCCUGUAAUAGAGAACUCGCAUGCGCCGCCCAGGAGGGAUCGGCCAUCCUCUAUGCAAUCAUCCCAAAUUUGGCCUUGUGCUCCGCUUAUACCCUUCAUCCCCAGCUCCCUCCACCCUGAGAGCUGUACUCUCCUAAUUAGUCACCAGGAGAAGAGGGGGCUCUAUUAGGACCAGUGAUGAAUCAUUAUCUUCCGUAAUUGGCCCUCCAGUCCCCCAGGGGGUGCCCUGCUCCAGACUGCCCAGCUGGAGGAGCCUAUCCUACCACGGAAUGAAACUGCAGCUGAAAAUGUUUGCUGAAGAAGCUGUAGAGAUCUGCUUCUCUUUCUGCAAAAGAGGAGACAAAUCAGCAAAUUAAGUCAGCAACUUAGAAGAAAGCAGCAUCUUCAUGGAUGAGAGAGCGUGGAAGCACUUGGCUCUUGUGCACAGCAGCAGAAUGAAGAUGUCACUUGUGACAAACUGGCUACUGUUGUGAGCUCUCGGCCCAUCACUUACACUGUCAGUGUGUUUGUUUAUAUACUGUACAUCCAUGUUCUUGUAAACACUGGAACGUCUGGAAUCUGAGACCUACAGCCACAUUAAGACACAUCAGUCUCCUGCUAAAAGGACUUUAGAAGAUACUUUAGAAGAUCCCAAAAUAUGAGGA